UCAAUGAUCAUGUAUCAGCGAUUAAAAAUAAAGCUUUAUCUGUAUUUGGUAUGAUAAAAAGAAACUGCUCCGAUUUUCGUGAUCCACUUGCUCUCAAAUGCCUUUAUACCUCACUAGUCCGUUCUUUNACUUAGAUUCUUUAAAUGCACGGAGACACUUAUCAUACAGUACGUUCCUCACCAAAUUACUAAAUAAUGAGAUUGAUGAUUCAUUUAUAUUAAGUCAAUUAAAUUUCAAAGUUAAUAGCCACCACACUCGUAACAAUCAUUUAUUUUAUAUUCCUCAUUCAUCUAAAAAGUUUACGUCACAUGACCCCAUAAAUAUUUUAAUGUCUUCGGGAAAUAGUUAAUUAUUUUAUUAAACAUUGAAUGUAUUUUUAUUAUUAUUACUAUUAUUUGAU